GAUGUUGGGUUAAGUCCCGCAACGAGCGCAACCCUUGUUCCUAGUUGCCAGCAUUGAGUUGGGCACUCUAGGGAGACUGCCGGUGACAAACCGGAGGAAGGUGAGGAUGACGUCAAGUCAGCAUGCCCCUUACGCUCUGGGCUACACACGUGCUACAAUGGCGCGGACAAAGGGUCGCGAGCGCGCGAGCGUGAGCCAAUCCCAAAAACCGCGUCUCAGUUCAGAUCGCAGGCUGCAACUCGCCUGCGUGAAGGCGGAAUCGCUAGUAAUCGCAGAUCAGCAUGCUGCGGUGAAUACGUUCCCGGGCCUUGUACACACCGCCCGUCACACCAUGGGAGCUGGCCAUGCCCGAAGUCGGAGCACCCGCCGAAGGCAGGGCUGGUGACUGGGGUGAAGUCGUAACAAGGUAGCCGUACCGGAAGGUGCGGCUGGAUCACCUCCUUU
rnacentral:rRNA from 1 species